AGCUACGCCGUGACCAUCCAGGAGUCCUACGCUCACCCCUUUGACCAGAUCUACUACACCAGAUGCACCGACAUCCUCAACUGGUUUAAAUGCACCAGGCACAGGAUCAGCUACAAGACUGCGUACCGCAGGGGCGUGAGGACCAUGUAUAGGCGCCGCUCCCAGUGUUGCCCUGGUUACUUUGAGAGCGGGGACUUGUGUGUUCCGCUCUGCACGGAGGAGUGCUCCCAUGGCCGCUGCGUCACCCCCGACACGUGCCAGUGUGAGCCCGGCUGGGGCGGACUGGACUGCUCCAGUGG